rnacentral:rRNA from 1 species
UGAGUGGCGGACGGGUGAGUAACGCGUGGGCAACCUGGCCUGUACAGGGGGAUAACACUUAGAAAUAGGUGCUAAUACCGCAUAACGGGGGAAGCCGCAUGGCUUUUCCCUGAAAACUCCGGUGGUACAGGAUGGGCCCGCGUCUGAUUAGCCAGUUGGCAGGGUAACGGCCUACCAAAGCGACGAUCAGUAGCCGGCCUGAGAGGGCGGACGGCCACACUGGGACUGAGACACGGCCCAAACUCCUACGGAAGGCAGCAG